AACGAACGCUGGCGGCAGGCCUAACACAUGCAAGUCGAACGCCGUAGCAAUACGGAGUGGCAGACGGGUGAGUAACGCGUGGGAACAUACCCCUCGGUUCGGAAUAACUCAGGGAAACUUGAGCUAAUACCGGAUACGUCCGAGGUUUUAAUCGACCUUGGAGAAAGAUUUAUCGCCGGUAGGAUUGGCCCGCGUCUGAUUUAGCUUGUUGGUGAGGUAAUGGCUCACCAAGGCGACGAUCAGUAGCUGGUCUGAGAGGAUGAUCAG
rnacentral:rRNA from 1 species